CUAGACGUGAAGAGUACACAACUUAUGUCAGUGUGCUAUGGCUUUGUUUUAAAGGUCCAGUGUGUAACGUUGAGGAGGAUCUAUUGUCAGAAUGGAAUGGUGUCAUGGCUCAGCUCCUCACCUGCUCCCUUUGCUCCUCCUCCUUCCCUGUGUGUGUGUCUAAUGAGGGUGCGGUCUUCACCUCACCUGUGCCCUGUCUCACCUGCUCCCAAUCUACAUGUUAGUCUCAGCCCUCAAGAACCCCGGCCUUCCUUUCAUUCGGCGCCAGAUUGUUUUUUCAGUGGACUUGGUGGUACUCCCGUGCCACCUCUCAGUGAGUAGCUUGCUCCGUGUGAUUUUCCUGUACCUGCUCUCCCCUGGGAUCCUAUCUCUCCUGAGUUUCAGGGAUCCCUCUCGUGCAGUUCAGGUUCCAGAGUCAGCUCUCCAGUGCCUCCGUGUCUUCGGUCCCUCUGCCAGUUCCACAGCCUCCCGUGCUGUUCGGUUCCCUGAGUCGGCUCUCCAGUGCUUCUGUGUCUUCGGUCUCCCUGCCGAUUCUCCAGCCCACUCCUGCCGAGGCCGCCCCUCAUUUUCCCGUGUGUGUCUUUAAUAAAGCCCCUUAAAACCCU